rnacentral:misc_RNA from 1 species
AACCAUAGAAACCUGCGGAGUACCUGCGGAAGGAUCAUUACAGAGUUGCAAAACUCCCUAAACCAUUGUGAACGUUACCUAAACCGUUGCUUCGGCGGGCGGCCCGGGACCUUCCCGGCGCCCCUCGGCCCUCGCGGGCGCCCGCCGGAGGUAAACCAAACUAUUGCAUUGUAUGGCCUCUCUGAGUCUUCUGUACUGAAUAAGUCAAAACUUUCAACAAUGGAUCUCAGAUCGGAAGAG